GCGCAGCCGGGGCGGUAGCGGUGCCUUGUACCUUCAAUCCGCUAUAGUAGGGGUCAUAUCCCGGCUGAGGGUGUUUCACUUGUGGAGCUGCCCUUUGUAAGUGGCGUUGAAGUUUGGGUCUUACGCAACAAGACUCUGUGAACCAUGUCAGGUCGGGAACGAAGCAGCAUUAAGCAGAAUCUCUUGUGUGCCGUGAGGGUGCCUGAGCCGAGCAGGCUGCAGAGGUAACGUCUGGGGGUGGCAUUCGAAGCCGGGAUGCGC
rfam:Clostridiales bacterium KLE1615 genomic scaffold Scaffold21, whole genome shotgun sequence.